AAGUAAAAGUUUAAGUUCUUGAAAAACAAAAGAUGUAUCUACUAUUGAGAUUGGGAAAGGAGGUCGUGUCUAUCCAAUAGUGAUUUCAAUUGUUUUGUAUAUUAACAUAAUGUUUAAAACAAAGUGAGUGUUCUGUCUUCAACAUCGUUGUUGAAGGAUGGUGUCCAUUGCAAAUUCUAUUAGUAGUUUGAUUCCUUGACAACAAAAUGGCUUCCUCAAGUGAGCUUGAAGAUUUUCUUCAAGGACCACUUGUGACAUGGUUGCAGUCCUGCAUUGACAGCCCUGAGAAAAUUACAGAUUUUGAAGACUUGGCUGAUGGAAUAGUAAUUCAUGAAGUAUUGCUGCUCAUCGAUCCUGAACCUCUUCAUCAUGGUGUACUUCCAAGCCUUGGGAAUGCAUCUAUUCGUGUCAGAAAUUUUGAUUGUAUCAUUAAAAAUAUUAAAACUCUUUAUGAGGAGGAGCUAUGUCAACUGAUAGUGAGUCUCCCUGACUGUGUGCGGCUUGGACGAGACAUCAAGACCAAGGAGGGGUUGGAAGACCUGCAGUUACUGCUGUUGCUGCUGCUGGGCUGUGCAGUGCAAUGUCCCAACAAACAGACCUUUAUUGAAGGCAUCAAAUCACUUCCUGUAGAUGCCCAACAUGGUCUUGUCCACUGUAUCAAGCAGGUGACGGAGAGCCAACAGAUUGUACUGACUCCUGACAACUUGGAGUCUGUUUCCAAUGAACUGCUGCUACGUCAUGUCCGCCACCUUAUCAAACAGAGGGACAAAUACCUACAGUACUGGGCAGGGCAGGAGGAACGCAAGUGUGGAGCAGUGACCCCUACAGUCACUGCACUAAGCACCGGAGAGAGGGGCGAGUCACAGCAUCUUGCAGUCGAGUUGGCUGACUGGAAGGCUCGACUAAGGAAACAGCGACAAGAGUUGGAAGAGAAAUCCGAAGCCUUAGCUGAAAUGAAGGAUGAGCUGGAACACAACCGUGCUCAGGUGGCCAAGUUAAGAGCUGAGAUGCAAGACCUGAAGCAGCAGGCCCGAGCCACAAAAGCAUACCGGGAUGAACUGGACUCAUUGCGGGAGAAAUCAGAGCGUUGUGAUAGACUGGAGGCGGAGGUGGCUCGAUACCGCGACAAGCUGAGUGACUUGGAGUUCUACAGGAGCCGUGUGGAAGAGCUACGCCAGGAUAACCGUGUGCUGGAGGAGACCCGUGAAAUGUUAGAGGAACAGCUGGCACGUGCACGCAAGCGUGGGGACCAUCUGCUGGAGCUGGAGGCGUCUAUACUGCAAUACAAACAAACUAUCAAUGACUUAGUCCUGGAGAGAGAUGCUAACCAUGAAAAGCUACAACAGAUGUUUGAGGAAAAUGCAGAACUAGCUAUUCUGAGCCGAUCACAACUAAAUAACACCGUCCAUGAUUCUGAUCACCUAGACGAAGACACCGACACAGGAUCUGGAGAUAACAGUUUGUCGGAACAGUUAACCAGUAAUGCCCAAGCUCGAGCAUUACGACUGGAGCUGGAGAACAGACGUUUGGCACAGACUGUGGAGAACCUACAGGAGACGGCAUUCCAGCAGACCAACCAAACCAUCCUGGAACUGGAGAAAGAGAAGAAAAAACUUUCUUUGUUGGUAGAAGACUUGGAAUGUAAUAAGCGAAAACUGGUCCAACAGAAUUCAGAUUUAGAGAACACAGUUAAGGAUGCCCAGAGAGACACCAAGAAAAUGCAAGAACUGAGAGAUACCCUGCAGUUACAACUUGAGAUUCGCAGUGAGGAGGCAGAGUCUCUUCAACGGGAGAAGCAGCGGUUGGAGAGGCGAGUGCUGGAGCUGGAGGCCAGUCUAGAGACAGCCAAGGCCCAAGCAGAGAGAGCAGAGAACCAGCAAGAUGCUCAGAACAAAGCAGCCUCACUUGAGAGAGAUGUUGCUAAACUGAAAGAAGCUUUGGAGGCUAAGUCUGUGACGCUAGACGAGGUUACAACAGAGGCUGAGAAAAAUCUGAAAGAGAAACUGCAACUAACAAAAAAACUUGAUGAAGUAAACAAUCAAGUGAUAAGGUUACAAGAGGUGGAGAGGGAGAUGCAGGAGCUGGAGCGGCGGUGUGCCGUGGACAAAGCGACGUUGACAGCUCUGCAGAGUGACUUAGUUGCUGAGAAACUUAAUACUCAACAACUCAAGACUAGUCUGGACAAGCUCGGCCUGCCAAUGGAUCACCUCUCAGACCCAGAUAAUGCUCUUGAUAGGAUAUUGUCAAGCCCAGAGGUGAUGCGGCUGGUGAAGGAGCGGCUUUCACAAGACGAGGAGACAGCUAAUGAGUUAGCAGCUCACAACGCUCGACUGGAGGUAGAUGUGGCUACACUACAGUCCCAAAUCUCCUCCUUCACCUCUCAGCUGACAGCCUUGCAACUCGCCAACUCGCAGCUGGUGGCUGAAAAAGAAGAGGUUUUGAAGAACCAUGCAGACCUGCAAAAUGAACAUCAGCAGAUGUUGGUGGACCAGCUGACUCUACAAAAGCUUCAUGAACAGCUGACAAGUGAGUAUGACAGCCUGGUGAAGGAGAGAGAGGCCCUGAAGAUAAGUUAUCGGGACCUGCGUGCAGAUCAGCGUCAGCUCAAGGAAAACUAUGACAUCCUCACCACCACCAUUGAGUCUCUGCGAGGAGAGAGAGAUACAUUUAGAGAGGAAAGCCGUUCUCUCGGUAAUCUGCGAGCUGAACAUUCCAAACUGAAGGAUGAUUUCCGUAACCUGUUUACUGCAAGUGAGAAGGUGAAGAGCGAGUACCGCGGGCUGCAGGAGGAGUAUAAGAAUGUACGAGGAGAGGCGUGCAGGCUGCGGUUGACAGUGACUGAGCUCCAAGGAGAGUUGGCCGCUCGCACAGAUAGAAUCACAACUCUGGAAGUGCAGCUGUCCAAACUGUCCAGCCAGUGUGAGCUGCUGAACCAAGUGAAAAUGGGACUGGAGGAGGAUCGUCGCUCGUUGAUGGAGCAUGUCAGCCUGCUGUUCAACCAGUAUCAUGAAUUACUAACCCACUCACUCGAGGACAAGGAACAUUACCAUACAGAAGAGAAACUGUUUAGGGACAAACUCAACAACUUGUGUAGACAGAAAGAGAAAUUAGAAGAGAAAAUAAUGGAACACUACAGGCGACUAGAUAGUUGUCCAACAAAAAAAAAAAAAGUAUUGGGGCCAGCUUAGUGAGAAGAAUGCGGAAGGCUGGCUCAGAUUUUAUUAGUAAGAGCCGUAGAUCAUGGCAUGAAGAUGCAACAAGAAGAGGAGGCACUGACUCAGAUACAAGUCUUGAAGAUGUACGCACCAGGCAGGAUGGUCUGAGUGGCCUCGGAACUCCUGGCACUCGCAGAGCUGUCUACUACUCAGCAGA
rnacentral:misc_RNA from 1 species